rnacentral:rRNA from 1 species
UACGAAGGGGGCUAGCGUUGUUCGGAAUCACUGGGCGUAAAGCGCACGCAGGCGGAUCGAUAAGUCGGGGGUGAAAGCCCGGGGCUCAACCUCGGAAUUGCCUUCGAUACUGUCGGUCUCGAGUCCGGGAGAGGUGAGUGGAAUUCCUAGUGUAGAGGUGAAAUUCGUAGAUAUUAGGAAGAACACCAGUGGCGAAGGCGGCUCACGGGCCCGGUACUGACUUUCAGGUGCGAGAGUGUGGGGAGCAAACAGG